CGCUGCUGCUCGAGCGGCCGAUCCGAGACGUGGCUCCCCGGGCGGAAGAACCAUGUUGGACUUCGCGAUCUUCGCCGUUACCUUCUUGCUGGCGUUGGUGGGAGCGGUGCUCUACCUCUAUCCGCGGACCCUUUUGAAACCAUGCUGAAGUCAUUAUUAAGGUAUCAAUCUGGUGGUGGCAGUGUGAGUGAAAACCACAUGAGGAAAAAAUUGUAUGAAAAUGGUGUGACUGAUUCUCUGAAGAGUAACUUUGCCCUCCUCCUAAAGCUUUCAGAAGAAUUAUUAGAUAAAUGGCUCUCCUACCCAGAGACCCAGCACGUGCCCCUCAGCCAGCAUAUGCUUGGUUUUGCUAUGAAGUCUGUUACACAGAUGGUAAUGGGUAGUACAUUUGAAGAUGAUCAGGAAGUCAUUCGCUUCCAGAAGAAUCAUGGCACACCCUCAUGCAACUGGAGUCUGUUUUAAGGAACAUCAUAAAAGAACGAAAAGGAAGGAACUUCAGUCAACAUAUUUUCAUUGACUCCUUAGUACAAGGGAACCUUAAUGACCAACAGAUCCUAGAAGACAGUAUGAUAUUUUCUCUGGCCAGUUGCAUAAUAACUGCAAAAUUGUGUACCUGGGCAAUCUGUUUUUUAACCACCUCUGAAGAAGUUCAAAAAAAAUUAUAUGAAGAGAUA
rnacentral:sRNA from 1 species